CCACGGGGGGCAGCAGUGGGGAAUAUUGCACAAUGGGGGAAACCCUGAUGCAGCGACGCCGCGUGAGUGAAGAAGCGCCUCGGCGCGUAAAGCUCUGUCAGCAGGAACGAUAAUGACGGUACCUGAAGAAGAAGCCCCGGCUAACUACGUGCCAGCAGCCGCGGUAAUACGUAGGGGGCAAGCGUUAUCCGGAUUUACUGGGUGUAAAGGGGGCGUAGACGGCGGGGCAAGUCUGGAGUGAAAGGCCGGGGCCCAACCCCGGGACGGCUCUGGAACUGCCCGGCUGGGGUGCGGGAGAGGUAAGCGGAAUUCCUAGUGUAGCGGUGAAAUGCGUAGAUAUUAGGAGGAACACCAGCGGCGAAGGCGGCUUACUGGACCGUGACUGACGUUGAGGCUCGAAAGCGUGGGGAGCAAACAGGAUUAGAUACCCGUGUAGUC
rnacentral:rRNA from 1 species